rnacentral:rRNA from 1 species
GGACUUGAAAGGAUCACAGGUAUUGCCCUAGUAACGGCGAGUGAAGCGGCAACAGCUCAAAUUUGAAAUCUGGCGCAAGCCCGAGUUGUAAUUUGUAGAGGAUGCUUCUGGGUAGCGACCGAUCUAAGUUCCUUGGAACAGGACGUCAUAGAGGGUGAGAAUCCCGUAUGUGACCGGCCCGCACCCUUUACGUAGCUCCUUCGACGAGUCGAGUUGUUUGGGAAUGCAGCUCUAAAUGGGAGGUAAAUUUCUUCUAAAGCUAAAUACCGGCCAGAGACCGAUAGCGCACAAGUAGAGUGAUCGAAAGAUGAAAAGUACUUUGGAAAGAGAGUUAAAAAGCACGUGAAAUUGUUGAAAGGGAAGCGCCUGCAACCAGACUUCGCGGCAGUGUUCCGCCGGUCUUCUGACCGGUUCAUUCUCUGUCGCGAGGCCAUCAUCGUCUGGGCCCGCCGGAUAAGACCUGAGGAAUGUGGCUCCCCCUCGGGGGAGUGUUAUAGCCUCUGGUGAUGCGGCGUGGCUCGGGCGAGGUCCGCGCUUCGGCAAGGAUGAUGGCGUAAUGGUUGUCGGCGGCCCGUCUUGAAACACGGACCAAGGAGUCUAACAUCUAUGCGAGUGUUCGGGUGUCAAACCCCUACGCGUAAUGAAAGUGAACGGAGGUGGGAACCGCAAGGUGCACCAUCGACCGAUCCUGAUGUCCUCGGAUGGAUUUGAGUAAGAGCAUAGCUGUUGGGACCCGAAAGAUGGUGAACUAUGCCUGAAUAGGGUGAAGCCAGAGGAAACUCUGGUGGAGGCUCGCAGCGGUUCUGACGUGCAAAUCGAUCGUCAAAUUUGGGUAUAGGGGCGAAAGACUAAUCGAACCAUCUAGUAGCUGGUUCCUGCCGAAGUUUCCCUCAGGAUAGCAGUAACGUUUUUCAGUUUAUGAGGUAAAGCGAUGAUUAGAGGCCUUGGGGUUGAAACAACCUUAACCUAUUCUCAAACUUUAAAUAUGUAAGAAGUCCUGUACUAGUGAACGUGACAAUUGGAUUGUACGUUACCUAGUGGGCCAUUUUUGGUAGCAAAAAACUUGGCGGA